AUUGAACGCUGGCGGCAGGCCUAACACAUGCAAGUCGAGCGGUAGCACAGAGAGCUUGCUCUCGGGUGACGAGCGGCGGACGGGUGAGUAAUGUCUGGGAAACUGCCUGAUGGAGGGGGAUAACUACUGGAAACGGUAGCUAAUACCGCAUAACGUCGCAAGACCAAAGUGGGGGACCUUCGGGCCUCAUGCCAUCAGAUGUGCCCAGAUGGGAUUAGCUAGUAGGUGGGGUAACGGCUCACCUAGGCGACGAUCCCUAGCUGGUCUGAGAGGAUGACCAGCCACACUGGAACUGAGACACGGUCCAGACUCCUACGGGAGGCAGCAGUGGGGAAUAUUGCACAAUGGGCGCAAGCCUGAUGCAGCCAUGCCGCGUGUGUGAAGAAGGCCUUCGGGUUGUAAAGCACUUUCAGCGGGGAGGAAGGCGUUAAGGUUAAUAACCUUGGCGAUUGACGUUACCCGCAGAAGAAGCACCGGCUAACUCCGUGCCAGCAGCCGCGGUAAUACGGAGGGUGCAAGCGUUAAUCGGAAUUACUGGGCGUAAAGCGCACGCAGGCGGUCUGUCAAGUCGGAUGUGAAAUCCCCGGGCUCAACCUGGGAACUGCAUUCGAAACUGGCAGGCUAGAGUCUUGUAGAGGGGGGUAGAAUUCCAGGUGUAGCGGUGAAAUGCGUAGAGAUCUGGAGGAAUACCGGUGGCGAAGGCGGCCCCCUGGACAAAGACUGACGCUCAGGUGCGAAAGCGUGGGGAGCAAACAGGAUUAGAUACCCUGGUAGUCCACGCCGUAAACGAUGUCGAUUUGGAGGUUGUGCCCUUGAGGCGUGGCUUCCGGAGCUAACGCGUUAAAUCGACCGCCUGGGGAGUACGGCCGCAAGGUUAAAACUCAAGUGAAUUGACGGGGGCCCGCACAAGCGGUGGAGCAUGUGGUUUAAUUCGAUGCAACGCGAAGAACCUUACCUGGUCUUGACAUCCACAGAACUUAGCAGAGAUGCUUUGGUGCCUUCGGGAACUGUGAGACAGGUGCUGCAUGGCUGUCGUCAGCUCGUGUUGCGAAAUGUUGGGUUAAGUCCCGCAACGAGCGCAACCCUUAUCCUUUGUUGCCAGCGGUCCGGCCGGGAACUCAAAGGAGACUGCCAGUGAUAAACUGGAGGAAGGUGGGGAUGACGUCAAGUCAUCAUGGCCCUUACGACCAGGGCUACACACGUGCUACAAUGGCAUAUACAAAGAGAAGCGACCUCGCGAGAGCAAGCGGACCUCAUAAAGUAUGUCGUAGUCCGGAUUGGAGUCUGCAACUCGACUCCAUGAAGUCGGAAUCGCUAGUAAUCGUAGAUCAGAAUGCUACGGUGAAUACGUUCCCGGGCCU
rnacentral:rRNA from 1 species